rnacentral:rRNA from 1 species
CGCGUAGGCGGCUCGUUAAGUCGGUUGUGAAAUCCCGGGGCUCAACUCCGGGCCUGCAUCCGAGACUGGCGGACUUGAGCAUGGCAGAGGCGAGUGGAAUUCCCGGUGUAGCGGUGGAAUGCGUAGAGAUCGGGAAGAACACCAGUGGCGAAGGCGGCUCGCUGGGCCAUUGCUGACGCUGAGGCGCGAAAGCGUGGGGAGCAAACA